UGGGGAAUCUUGCGCAAUGGUCGAGAGACUGACGCAGCGACGCCGCGUGUGGGAGGAAGCCCUUCGGGGUGUAAACCACUGUUGCCCGGGACGAACAAGCGAUUUCGAUCGCUCUGACGGUACCGGGUGAGGAAGCACCGGCUAACUCCGUGCCAGCAGCCGCGGUAAUACGGAGGGUGCGAGCGUUGUCCGGAAUCACUGGGCGUAAAGGGCGCGUAGGUGGCGCGGGAAGUCAACGGUGAAAGUUCAGGGCUCAACCCUGAAUCGGCCGUCGAUACUCCCGGGCUUGAGCACUGUAGAGGCAGGUGGAAUUCCGGGUGUAGCGGUGGAAUGCGUAGAGAUCCGGAAGAACACCGGUGGCGAAGGCGGCCUGCUGGGCAGUUGCUGACACUGAUGCGCGACAGCGUGGGGAGCAAACAGGAUUAGAUACCCCUGUAGUCC
rnacentral:rRNA from 1 species